rnacentral:rRNA from 1 species
CCUACGGGUGGCAGCAGUAGGGAAUCUUCCACAAUGGGCGAAAGCCUGAUGGAGCAACGCCGCGUGGGUGAAGAAGGUCUUCGGAUCGUAAAACCCUGUUGUUAGAGAAGAAAGUGCGUGCGCGUAACUGUUCACGUUUCGACGGUAUCUAACCAGAAAGCCACGGCUAACUACGGGCCACCCGCCGCGGUAAUACGUAGGGGGCAAGCGUUAUCUGGUUUUAUUGGGCGUAAAGGGAACGCAGGCGGUCUUUUAAGUCUGAUGUGAAAGCCUUCGGCUUAACCGGAGUAGUGCAUUGGAAACUGGGAGUCUUGAGUGCAGAAGAGGAGAGUGGAACUCGAGGUGUAGCGGUGAAAUGCGUAGAUAUAUGGAAGAACACCAGUGGCGAAGGCGGCUCUCUGGUCUGUAACUGACGCUGAGGUUCGAAAGCGUGGGUAGCAAACAGGAUUAGAUACCCUAGUAGUC